rnacentral:lncRNA from 1 species
CCCAUGGGGCUGGGGAUCAGAAAUGUCCCGUGAGAGAGAGGCAAGUUUAGGUUUCCUGGUUUAGAGUAGUGCAGAAGUUAUCAUAUGCUGAGGCAGUAAAGAAAGUAGAGGAAGUCGGGUCAAGGGAUCCUGAGAGGAGUGGUUUGAGUAGUAGAUCUGCACUAGUAAAGAGGGAUAGGACAACAAGUGAUAUAUCUUUUAGUAAGAUUGGAUUACAUUUUUUUUAUAGCAAUGGUUAUCAACUGGACUGCAGGGACGGAACUUAAGUUGCAGAAAAUGGAGGUUGUGGUGGCAGCUGCAGAGAGGUAUUUGGGUGCGCGAGACUUCAGAGACGUCAGAAGAGUUACACGGUGUCUUAAGUGGUGGUGUCCCUUACUUUCAGGUUGUUGGCCUGAGGUAGGACUAAAUAGAUUUAAAUAGUGGAUUAGGGUGGUGUUAUUUCUUUGUGUGUUUUUUCAAAUAAAGUACAAGGGAGUUGUACUCCAGUCUAGUAGGUGGCGGUAAUGCAACAUUUACUGGAUGCCAACCGCCGUUAAACCUAAUCGAAUAAGAAGUAGUAGUACGCAGGGAACUUUUAUUUUGAAGAUUUUCGAAAUUCGGUGACCCAGAGGUGCUUUUUUGUUGUUGUGUCGCUUACACUUUCCUUUGGAUAAGCAAAUUGUAGCUACACCAACAACAGAACUACAACAAACAUCUUCAUACGGAGUAUAACUGCUAGUUCAAUCAAACAUAAGACGAAGACCGCAAUUUGUGUGACUGGAUUAAAGCGAAAGAAGGACGAAGAGACGGAAAAAUAUAGAUACUAGCUAGCUAACGUAAGGCUAGCAGCAAGCUGACAUGAAUUUUCUCGUUGGCUAUGGCGUGUCCUCUGAUUCUGACAGCGACGGGGAUAUUGGAAACAAGAAGACUGAGAGCAAGGUGGAUGGAGAGACCCAGAAGAAGAGCCGCAAUUUCCUCCUAGAGUCCGGGUCAGCCUCCAGCGAGUCAGACUGUGACUUCAACCCAGAGGAAGAGGGGGACCCCGUAUCUCAACUAAAACCUAAAUGCCCUCCUCCUGCCUGUAUGGCACCCCCCUCUGAGUCCCGGACCCCUCUCCUCCCCGCAUCCUCUAGUUCCCUCUCCCACAAACUCCCCCCUCCACCCCUCGGGGCCUCAUCCAAGAGUGGCGUAUUCGCCAACCCCUUUAAGGCGCAAGCCGACCAGAAGCUCAACGUCUUGCAGAAGCACGUCCCUCUCACUCUGCUGGCCCGGCCCUCCCAGAUAGGAGGCAAGAGGAUGUGCGUGGCGUACAGGAAGGACGGACGCUGCAGGUUCGGGAUCAAAUGCAAGUUUGCCCAUGACAGCGACCUCCAGAGCUCCAUCAUUCCCAAUGAGUAUGACCCCCCUGCGGGUGACGAUCCCGGAUCGGACCAAGCUGACCCCAACGCGGGGGGCUUUUCAUACAUGGGUCGCCAGAACUUUCACCACAACCAGGGAGGAGACCCUGAAGAGGAGGGUCAGCAGUCUAGGAAGAGGAGAGUAGGGCUGAGUAACACCCUAGUGCCUCCUAAAAGGUCAAUGAAGAAUUAUGCAAUGCAGAGGAAGAGAGAACAGGUCAAUUUGAACUGAGUGACUUGCACAGGGAUACUGUCAGCAGCAAUAUACUGUGUGUGUGUGUGUGUGUGUGUGUGUGUGUGUGUGUGUGUGUGUGUGUGUGUGUGUGUGUGUGUGUGUGUGUGUGCGCACCCUCACAUCGUUUUAGUGUGUGACAGAGAAAAUGGGAAUAUGUUCCAAUUUUGUACCCUUAUUCUGCACUCAUUUACUCCCCCUCAUGGAUGUAAAAGGAAUGGACUGGUGUAAAAUAGGGUUUAAACUUCUCCCUACCCAUGAUUACAUUAAUGUAAUGGAGUGAGUGCAAACUUCUGUUAGAAGAGAAGAUAAUCAGACCACAGCCAGAGAGUAUUCUAUAGGAUACCUAUAGCACACUUCCACAUUUCUGUUCAGUCCAGUACAUAUACUUCAGAUUGGUAGUUUCUACAUGAAACGUUUAUGUAGUUUCAUUGAAAACGUAUUCCUUUCUGUAAGAAACUGUCCAUUGGAAAUAUAAGCUACAAUUUGUCAUUGUUAAAUAAAUGCUUUAAAUGUUUGUAACUUGUGUUUGUGAUCACUUAAUGAUGAAUGGGCAUAGGAACUGGCGAUACGAAUAAAGUUAUGGAUCGAGUUCAGGAAAAUAUAGAAUUAUUGAUGAAAGUGGAUUUAAACUUUUGCUUUGAUUAGAGAAAGAUUGAAAGAAGAGGCAGCACAGGGUUACUUUUUUGGAUCAGUUGCAACACACUCCGGCAUCAGUCACAAUGUAAGCACACACACUUAGCUCCUGCUUUUUGGGAUGGAUCUAUUGGAGCUUCUACACACCAGUGAAUGACGCUUCUCUUUUGGAGUCCAAAGCCAAAAACUGCAAUGAAAGCUAAGAUCGAGCGGAACAGACAGCGGGCUCUGAUGCUGAGGCAAUCCCCGACUGGCUAGUAGACCAUUGGCAAGAGAGCGGGGUGGCACCUCGGCUAAAGUCGCAAAAAACAGUCGACUUUGGAGGAGGGUUCUUCAUUGAUGGAGAGGGACAGGAGGAGCAAAGGGGAGCUAAGGUGGCGCAUCAACCAGGUAUGUACAUUUUAUAACUCAUCAAACAUUGCAGGAGGCAGCGGGGUCAUAUCUGUUGCGUUAGGUCAGCGUCUAUCAGAGGUCAUCUCUAGCUGCUAUGCUGUCUUAUCUGUCGAAGAUGUCAGAUGUGUAACAGAAAAAGAUCUAUUGGUUCAUGUGUACUGAUUCAUGCCACAGCAAAUGCCAGUGACCGAGUGGAGUCAGUUUCUUUCUAUAGCCUAGCUACCUGGAACAAUGGCCAUGAUUCAAUGGUUUACGACACAGUGACAACCAGCCACUAUCUGAAUGACUGUUAAGAAG